AGGGUGCUAGCGUUAUUCGGAAUCAUUGGGCGUAAAGGGCGCGUAGGCGGCCUGUUAAGUUUGCUGUUAAAUCUUUCGGCCUAACCGAAAAACUGCAGCAAAAACUGAUAGGCUAGAGUGUAAGAGAGAGAAGUGGAAUUCUCGGAGUAGCGGUAAAAUGCGUAGAUCUCGAGAGGAACACCGAUGGCGAAGGCAGCUUCUUGGCUUACUACUGACGCUGAGGCGCGAAAGCGUGGGGAGCAAACAGGAUUAGAUACCCUGGUAGUCCACGCUGUAAACGAUGAUCACUAGAUGUUAGUUCUGCUUAGCAGGAUUAGUGUCGUAGCUAACGCGUUAAGUGAUCCGCCUGGGAAGUACGGUCGCAAGGCUAA
rnacentral:rRNA from 1 species